GACGAACGCUGGCGGCGUGCCUAAUACAUGCAAGUCGAGCGAAGCGGCGGAUGGGUGAGUAACGCGUGGGUAACCUGCCCUUAAGUCUGGGAUACCAUUUGGAAACAGAUGCUAAUACCGGAUACUAAAGGAUGGACCUGCGAUGCAUUAGCUAGUUGGUAAGGUAACGGCUUACCAAGGCGAUGAUGCAGAGCCGGGUUGUGAGACUGAUCGGCCACAUUGGAACUGGGACACGGCCCAAACUCCUACGGGAGGCAGCAGUAGGGAUGUUGCCGCAAUGGACGAAAGUCUGAUGGAGCAACGCAGCGUGAGUGAUGAAGGUUUUCAGAUCGUAAAGCUCUGUUGUUGGUGAAGCGGUAAUCAACCAGAAAGUCACGGCGAACUACGGGCCAGCAGCCGCGGUAAUUAC
rnacentral:rRNA from 1 species